CCGCUUUGCCGUCAGGGUGAGGGAGCCGGGUGGAGGUUUGUACUGGGAGAUAAGAACCUGUCACAUGCGGAUUCCUGCUGCAGAGACGGGGAGCGGCGGCUGGAGACAGUGUGUGCCUUCCUGUGUAUCCGAGGCUGGGCCAGCAAACACGUCUCUCGACGACUGUCCAACCUUUGAAACUUGGAGCUCCCGGCAGGUGCGGUUGGCACUGGUGGAGAUAUCAGUUGCAAAUGGAAGGAACAGUCCUUCAGCCAGGAUGUGGAAGAGAAUUCCUCCCCAAAUACUGAGACUUUCAGUGUCCCAGCUGCCAAAAACCAAAGCCACCUCCUACACCUUCCUGGAUGCGAGAAACCCCAACUGCCCGCUACCCAUCUGUCAAAAUUUAUAGAUCUGCUUGGACAAAUAUUAACAAUUCAGUCAUGCGCAAAGCCUGUGGCAUAUUGAAAAAAUUGGGAGAAGGAUAAAAUACAUUGAAUGUAAUGUGAAAAUAAGCUAUGUGGUGAGUAGUUUACUCUUUUUCCCUGUGUCUCCAUCUGCUUUCCUCUGUCUUCUGCUUAGCUUUGAAAGGCUUUGGGAUGUGUCUUUGUUCUCCAAAUGCUGAAUAUGAUGAUGGAUCACAAUACAUUUAUCUCUGUGCAUUUCUGCCACGCUCAUCCUUUGCCCUGCCUCCUUAGGGCACUUUUGUGUUGGAUGGUAAUUUUUGCAUUUACAUUCUUAAAAGCAGUGGAACAAGUUAGUUAUAGCAUACCUUUUAAUUGUCUAUAAAAAGCAGGCAGUACUUCAGAUAUUAAUUCAGGGAGAGGAUCCUGAAAACCAAAAGGAAAAAUAAGUAGGGAACACACAUCGGAUGCCUGGCACACGUCGAGUCCAACCACAGCUUUUUAACACCUCUGCAGUUGGCUACAGAUCAAACAACUUGCAGAUACCACCCGUCUGCCUCCCAGCACAAUGAUGCUCCUGCCUUGUCUCUCAGUAAAGAGAAGUCUUAGCACUGUAUGGACACAAAUCCUAGCUAGAUGGGGACUGGAGAACUUGGACUAGGAGUAGCAGACAUACCCAAAGACCACCUAGCCCAAACAGAAGUCAGAAGAGAAGCAGAAGAAUGGGAACUGAAGCUAAGCUGUUUAUGCAGGACUUGAGUGAGGCUGGGAGAAAAGACUGACUAGGACAGAGCUCUGUUGUGGAGGUGGGAGGGGAAGAGAUGGUUCUUGGCCCUUGGUAAUGAUCAAGAACAUAAUGGGGAUCUGUAGUGAGAUAAUGUGAAUAGUAUGGGGAAAAAGGCAGGAAACCCUUCUUGACAGAACAGGUAGUAGCAUAGGAAGGAAAUUGUGACUAGAGCUGCUGGCCUAGGUGCAGAAGAAAAGGAUAGUGUGGGAGAAGGAGGACACAAAGACUCUUGAGAGGAUGGAGGAUGAUGACUGAGUUCCUGAAAUGAAGGUGUGGAACUAUGGCACAGGUUUUGACCUGUUGAAGGAAUGCAAGGAGUCAUUGCAAAAGCAGCAAGUCAUAAAACACCCCCUUUACUAUCUCAAUUUCCAUAUUACAGUUUCUAGAAAGAAAAAAGAAAUAUUUUCUCAGAAAAUGCCAUUUCCUCCCAGUAUGUGUGCUGUCCUCUACUUCAAGCCUUACCAGCAGUGCUGCCAUUUGGAAGGAUGCAGAUGUGAAACCACACACAAAAAGAUAAGAUGAUCAAAUAAAGGGCGACUUUCAGAUAACUGGGCUAGGGGC
ensembl:lncRNA